AUUGAACGCUGGCGGCAUGCCUUACACAUGCAAGUCGAACGGCAGCACGGGAGCAAUCCUGGUGGCGAGUGGCGAACGGGUGAGUAAUAUAUCGGAACGUGCCCAGUCGUGGGGGAUAACGCAGCGAAAGCUGUGCUAAUACCGCAUACGAUCUACGGAUGAAAGCGGGGGAUCGCAAGACCUCGCGCGAUUGGAGCGGCCGAUUACAGAUUAGCUAGUUGGUGAGGUAAAGGCUUACCAAGGCGACGAUAUGUAGCUGGUCUGAGAGGACGACCAUACACAAUGGAUCUGGGACACUGUCCAGAUUCCAACGGGAGGCAGCAGUGGGGAAUUUUGCACGAUGGGGGAAAGCCUGCUCCAGCAAUGCCGCGUGCAGGAUGAAGACCUUCGGGUUGUAAACUGCUUUUGUACGGAACGAAACGUUGCGCCCUAAUACAGUUUGCUAAGGACGGUACCGUAAGAAUAAUCACCGGCUAACUACGUGCCAGCAGCCGCCGUAA
rnacentral:rRNA from 1 species